GUGCACCAGUCGCGAAACCUCCGCAAUACACGAAAGUGUGACGGGGCCAUCCCGAGUGCCGUCCGCUGAGGACGGCUUUUCCUCAGUGUACAUAGCUGGGGGAAUAAGGAGAGGGCAAGCCUGGUGUCAGCCGCCGCGGUAAUACCAGCUCUCCGAGUGGUGGGGACGCUUAUUGGGCCUAAAGCAUCCGUAGCCGGCUGGGCAAGUCCUCCGUUAAAUCCAACGAUUCAAUCGUUGGGCUGCGGGGGAUACUGUCCAGCUUGGGGGCGGGAGAGGCCGACGGUAUUCCCGGGGUAGGGGUGAAAUCCGUAUAAUCCCGGGAGGACCACCAGUGGCGAAGGCUGUCGGCUAGAACGCGCCCGACGGUGAGGGGUGAAAGCUGGGGGAGCGAACCGGAUUAGAUACCCCGUAGU
rnacentral:rRNA from 1 species